GUGGGGAAUCUUGCGCAAUGGGCGAAAGCCUGACGCAGCCAUGCCGCGUGAAUGAUGAAGGUCUUAGGAUUGUAAAAUUCUUUCACCGGGGACGAUAAUGACGGUACCCGGAGAAGAAGCUCCGGCUAACUUCGUGCCAGCAGCCGCGGUAAUACGAAGGGGGCUAGCGUUGCUCGGAAUUACUGGGCGUAAAGGGCGCGUAGGCGGACAGCUUAGUCAGAGGUGAAAGCCCAGGGCUCAACCUUGGAAUUGCCUUUGAUACUGGCUGUCUUGAGUUUGGGAGAGGUGAGUGGAACUCCGAGUGUAGAGGUGAAAUUCGUAGAUAUUGGAAGGAACACCAGUGGCGUAAGCGGCUAUCUGGACGAGUAUUGACGCUGAGGCACGAAAGCGUGGGGAUCAAACAGGAUUAGAAACCCCAGUAGUCC
rnacentral:rRNA from 1 species